CGCUUGUUUUGUUGUUCUUUGCUUUACUGCACUGCGUGGAUACUGCAUUAAAAAACAAUUUUUUUUUUUGAAGGUCUGUGGCAACCCUGCGUCAAGCAAGUCUGUUGGUGCUAUUUUUCCAACAGCAUUUGCUCACUUCCUGUUUCUGCGUCACAUUUUGGCAAUUCUCGCAAUAUUUCAAACUUGUUCACUAUUAUUACAUUUGAACUGCUGCAAUCUCAUGAUAACACUUGAAUGGAUGAAGAGUUGCUUCUCAUGCACGAGCAAAGAAAGUGGUUUCUUGAGAUGGACUCUACUCCCAGUGAAGACGCUGUGAAGACUGUCGAAAUGACAACAAAGGAUUGACAACCUCAUACGCUUCGGUGAUAAAGCAGCAGACCCCAAAUUUGAAAGAAGUUCUACUGUGGGUAAAAGGUGUCAAACAGGAUCGCAUGCUACAGAGGAAUCGUCUGUGAAAGGAAGAGUCGAUCGGUGUGGCAAACUUCGCAGCUGUCGUAUUUUCAGAAACAGGCACAGCCACCCAGCCUUUAGCCACCAGCACCCUGAGCAGGCAGAAGCCAGCAACACCUAGGCAAGACCCUCCACUUAGGACUCCCUGAAAGCAUCCUUUCCCUGAGGUGCUGGACAAACAACUUAGUCACAUGAACCCAAGCAAGAGCAAAAGGAAAACAACAACAACAACAACAACAACAACAACAAUCGGUCAAUAUCUCAAAGAUGCUGUUUGCUACGUAGGUGAGCAUCCUUCUUCCCGGGGGAGUGGAGAGGAGCUAGUGGGAAAGGAUUCAGGGCUCCGGGACUCCAGCUGUGUCCUCCUUGGAGAUAAAAGUUGACCACCAGCAGUUCUUUCCCUUAGCAAGUAAGGAGAGAGGGAUAAACUUUUUGAAAAACACGUUUAUUUUAAAAUUUUACAUCAUCUUUGGAUAAUUCAUGAUUGGAUCAGGCACGGUGCAGACACUUCUGAGAUCAAGGUCUCCAGACCAACGUGAACAGUUUCUGCGACUGAAGAGCCAGGGGACCUCAUGAUAUAGGAUGGAGCGAUGGCUACUGACGAAGACACGACCCCCUCAAGACGGGGACUUUCCAAACGCAGCGUGCAGUCACCAUUUCUAAAUUAUCUGUCGCAAACAUUAAACAUCUCACCAGACCAACAAUAAUACCCCUAUCUUAUCUGCAGUUUACUAGUUUCCAUAGACAACACAGAAUUAAAUUAAUUUGAUCCCUUAGAUGAAUAAUAACAAUUAAAGCUAGCAUCUACCCAGUGUAGUCUCAUUGUCCACACCAACACCAACCUCCUGCUGAUGGAAUGCCACCUGCCUCUCACUGUUUGUGAUUCAGAGAUUGCAGCAAGCACGUCAAAUCAGAACAUAAAGCAAUGUUUUAUGGGCCCGGGCCCGGGGGCCUGGAGAGGGGAAAGACUCCCCACACAGCAAGAAGCGGCCCAAGUGCGCUGCCUAUCCCCAAGCAGAGAGGUCAGAACUGCAAGCAGGGAGGAAGAGGAGGAGGAGGGGGAGGAGGAGAAGGAGGCGGGGGAGGGGGAUGGGGGGGACACCCUCUGCACGUUCCACUGCCUCAGAUGGUUUCCUGGGCACUCCAGGCAGGUGUCCCAAUAGGAGAGUUAAUUCCCUGAUGAUAGGACCCCCUCUCCGGCCUCCCUCAAAGCAAGGUCUUGCCCAGGUGUGAGCACACAGCAGGUCCUUAGAAAAGGAAGGAAGGAAGGAAGGGAGGGAGGGAGGGAGGAUGGAAGCCACCAUGCGCAGGGAACCUGCUAGGACAGAACCAGGAUAGGUGUUUCAUGUAACCCUUAUAACAGCCCUGUGAGGUAGGCUCAUCACCCCCCCAUUUUAAAGAUGUGGAAACAGAGUCUCGGAGAGAAUUCACCAAUGGUGGCAUGGCUGGUAAACGGGACGGGGGGAGCAUCAAUUUGAAAACCCGGGGCUUCUUCCUCUGGGUUCCUUCUACUCUUCUAUAAACCAAGGGUUUGGCAGCAAGUGAGCCAGCUCCAGCUCCCAGACAGCUGUUCUAGAGCUCGAGCUUGAGGGGCCGUUGAGCACAUAAGGCCAGGAGUCCAAACGCCUGGGUCUAGGAACCCUGGCUCUACAGCAUUACUUUGUAACCCUGAGCGAGCACUCUGCCUUCUCCACAGGGCAGGGCUGGCCUAGCCCAGUAUGCUUCUCCACCAGGGAACGGGGUAGCACAACUACCCAGGAAGCCUGUUGGCAGACCAGGGUGUGAGGGUCUCUGUCUGGAGACUCUGAUGCUGCACCGUUGCUGGAGGGCCAGAGGGCAUGGCCGUCUGAUAUACCUUGUGAGAAUCGGUUGUGAUCUCUAAGGUUCUGACUUCCGAGAGCAACUUUAAAUGCUAGGGAACCACAUCCCCACUCCCUGAGAGACGUCCCGCAAAAGGCCCGGGAAAGUCAAAGAAAUCAUCAGAUGGGGAUACUGUUGUAAAGCAGAAAAUGUUGAAAAAUAAUUUGAGAGAGAGAGAGAAAAAAAAAAACCCCACUGCUUUAAAGGGGAAAACAAGAGGGCAGUCAGCAGUGGGCGCGCGGUGUGCAAAUCCCACUGCAGGGUAGGGUCAGGCCAGGCUGAGCAUGGACAAAUCAGGUUUUUGGCAUCUGGCUUGCCUGGUGUCUGCCAGGGGGCUGCACUCCCUGCCUCAGAUGGGUUGGGGGGGGGG